UCUUGCAAACUAAAGAUGGCGACCGGCGCACGGGUGAGUAACACGUAUCCAACCUGCCGAUAACUCGGGGAUAGCCUUUCGAAAGAAAGAUUAAUAUCCGAUAGUAUAUUAAAACCGCAUGGUUUUACUAUUAAAGAAUUUCGGUUAUCGAUGGGGAUGCGUUCCAUUAGUUUGUUGGCGGGGUAACGGCCCACCAAGACUACGAUGGAUAGGGGUUCUGAGAGGAAGGUCCCCCACAUUGGAACUGAGACACGGUCCAA
rnacentral:rRNA from 1 species